GGGCAAUUGGUCUAGUGGUAUGAUUUCCCCUUAGCACGUUCGAUGGAAUUCGGACCCAAUCUGGGGAAGGUCCUGGGUUCAAUUCCCAGAUUGUCCA